UACGGAGGGAGCUAGCGUUGUUCGGAACUACUGGGCGUAAAGCGCACGUAGGCGGCGCAGCAAGUCAGGGGUGAAAUCCCGGGGCUCAACCCCGGAACUGCCCUUGAAACUGCAGUGCUAGAAUUCUGGAGAGGCGAGUGGAAUUCCGAGUGUAGAGGUGAAAUUCGUAGAUAUUCGGAAGAACACCAGUGGCGAAGGCGGCUCACUGGUCCGGUACUGACGCUGAGGUGCGAAAGCGUGGGGAGCAAACAGG
rnacentral:rRNA from 1 species